UGCCAGCAGCCGCGGUAAGACGUAAGUUGCAAGCGUCGUUCGGGAUUCAUUGGGCGUAAAGGGCAUGUAGGCGGCAUGACAAGUCUGGUGUGAAAUAUCUCGGCUCAACCGAGAAAACGCACUGGAAACUGUCAAGCUUGAGUAUCGGAGGGGGAGCUAGAAUUCCUGGUGUAGGGGUGAAAUCUGUAGAUAUCAGGAAGAAUACCGGUGGCGAAGGCGAGCUUCUGGCCAGAUACUGACGCUGAGAUGCGAAAGCGUGGGGAGCGAACAGGAUUAGAUA
rnacentral:rRNA from 1 species